rnacentral:rRNA from 1 species
AUUGAACGCUGGCGGCAUGCCUUACACAUGCAAGUCGAACGGAUGACGGGAGCUUGCUCCUGGAUUCAGCGGCGGACGGGUGAGUAAUGCCUAGGAAUCUGCCUGGUAGUGGGGGACAACGUUUCGAAAGGAACGCUAAUACCGCAUACGUCCUACGGGAGAAAGCAGGGGACCUUCGGGCCUUGCGCUAUCAGAUGAGCCUAGGUCGGAUUAGCUAGUUGGUGAGGUAAUGGCUCACCAAGGCGACGAUCCGUAACUGGUCUGAGAGGAUGAUCAGUCACACUGGAACUGAGACACGGUCCAGACUCCUACGGGAGGCAGCAGUGGGGAAUAUUGGACAAUGGGCGAAAGCCUGAUCCAGCCAUGCCGCGUGUGUGAAGAAGGUCUUCGGAUUGUAAAGCACUUUAAGUUGGGAGGAAGGGCAGUAAGCGAAUACCUUGCUGUUUUGACGUUACCGACAGAAUAAGCACCGGCUAACUCUGUGCCAGCCGCCGCGGUAACAC